rnacentral:tRNA from 1 species
GGGACCUUAGCUCAGUUGGUAGAGCGGCUGCCUUACAAGCAGUAGGUCGGCGGUUCGAACCCGUCAGGUCCCACCA